rnacentral:rRNA from 1 species
AAGUCUGAAGUUAAAGGCUGUGGCUCAACCAUAGUUCGCUUUGGAAACUGUCAAACUUGAGUGCAGAAGGGGAGAGUGGAAUUCCAUGUGUAGCGGUGAAAUGCGUAGAUAUAUGGAGGAACACCGGUGGCGAAAGCGGCUCUCUGGUCUGUAACUGACGCUGAGGCUCGAAAGCGUGGGGAGCGAACAGCCUUUAACUUCAGACUU